AGGUGUUUCAGUGCUUUAUUGUUUCAAGAGAAACUGGUUUUGAGAAAAUCAGUCUUCAGAAGACUUGGAUGUUCUCACAGACAAGAAUUGGUUAAGCUGGUUACAGAAAACAAAGAAAGAACCACAAAAUUCCUCCCCAGCCUCAAAAUCUUUUCAGUUUUUAUGAAGAUAGUGAGGAGAGUAUUUUUACCUCUGUUUCCAAUGCGAAAUGGAAGGUUUUAUAUUUAUGUAGCUUGGCAGCUCUGUUAACAGCCUUCCUAUGUGAAAGGUGUUUAUUUAUUUUGCUGAUGUUGAGUUCCAUUCUUUUCUGUUUGUUUUCUUUUUCUUUUCUAGGGUGAUAGGGUUGAAGCAACAGGAUGAGAGAUUUCAAGCAUGCUGCUGAAUGUUGUGAUCUGACAAAACUGCAUGGCUUCCUUUAUCAAGACAGCUGUGUUUUUACAUAAAUAAAUCUUAAUUUGACCUGCAGAAGGAUUACGCCUGGUACUCAAAUGUACUACCUUGAAAGGUCACCUUGACUUCCCCAAGGUAUUUGCUUCAAGGCAUUCAGGAUUUCAGAUGAGAAAGCCUCACAGACUGAGGCACAGCAAGGAAUGGAGAGAGUGGUCACAAGACUGUUGUAAAAGAGAAUCACCAAGGUCAGCAGUACAAUGAAGAUUAACCUAAUAAAGAAAAGGUCUCAUUCAGUGGUAAAUAAAACUAGCAAUAUUUCUUUUUCUGAAUGAAACCAUGCCUUGGACAACAUUCUAGCAUCAAGACUAAAGGCCCCAAAAGAAAGAUUACACCAAAUACAGAAAGUGAUGUAGUUUUGUUAUAGAUAAAAAAAUAAAAUAUCACAAAAUCAUUAGGUUUGGAAGGGACCUCUGGAGACCAUCUAGUCCAAGCCCCCUGCCAAGGCAGGGCCACCUAGAGCAGGUUACACAGAAAAGUAUUCAGGCAGUGUUUGAAUAUCUCCAGAGAGGGAUACUCCACAGCUUCCCUGGGUUCCUGCCUCCUGUUACUUGUUUUGCAGUAGCAGCUCAAGCAUCUAAUAUUUAAUGUUUGGUUUGUGUCACUUGUUUUACAAGAAAAUAAGGUCCAUCCUUAUCAUCAGUGCACAAAUCCCCUCUUUUCUGGAAGCUAUGAAACCUUCUUGCACAACUCCAAUGUUUUACACCUGCACUCCGUGUCUUAAAGUCUUCGGAAAUGAAGUAAAUGAAAUAACUAGCAGUAAAUAUGUCCAACAUAGUUAGUCAAGAUAAAUAGAAGAUUUAAUCGUGCCUUUAGCCUGAAGAUUUUUGCAAAUGUUGGUUAUGAAUCUUUAUGCUUAGCAAGUGUAACAUAUCGCUGAAUCAGAAUGAUAGUAAUUUACACAAUAUCUGCAUUCCUUAGUGCAAUACAAACAUGAAGCACAGCACAGGAGAACUGGGCUUACUGUAGUGAUCUUCUGUAGCCACACAUUUAUUUCCUAUUUGAUUUGGAGACUGUUGCUGCCUCAGCAUCUGCAGAAUGCAAACUGCUUAUAUGAUUACUGCUGUACUAAGGCUGGGGUUGUGCGUGAAUGUCCACUAAAGACACUCAGGCCUGUGUGGCAUCUCCUCAGGGCUGCACAAAAGGAUAGAUUUUUCAUGGGGAAAAAAGUGCAGUUGGAACCUACCAGCAACUCAGUGUUGCUAAGCAGCUGUGGAAAACACUCCUUUUUGGAGCACUCAUCUGAUUGAUAGUGCCUGUCUUCUCUGAUGGCUAACUGCUGAUGUCCUAGCUCCUACACCUGCUUGUCCACAGCUCCCACCUUUGCCAGCUCUCCUUUCCCUUAUGUUGUUCAAACUUCCCCUUCUAAAAUAACCCCAUUUAAAACAUUUUGUAAAGCCAGCGGUGGCCAAGUUACCAUGAAUUUUGCAGAGAAUCUAACAUUCUCUUAUUAUGAUCUGUUCCUUUUGUCUGUUUUUCAUUUUUCAUAAGGGUUUCAGGAUAAGGGCUGUAUUAUUUCAAUGUUUACAAAUUAUCUAGCAUGACACGAUACAGUCCACAUUUUUGUCAGCCUUAGAAAGCAAAGUUCAAAAAUGUUCAGGCUCUACAAUUCACCACCAUUGUCUGCAGCUGCUGAAACAUAGGAUAGGACACAUUAACUGGUAAAAAAUGCAGAAAACCAGCAUGUAUUCCCAG